GAUAAACGCUGGCGGCGUGCAUGAGACAUGCAAGUCGAACGGACGACUCGGGCUUGCCCGAGUCGUUAGUGGCGGACGGCUGAGUAACGCGUGGGUGACCUGUCCCGAAGUGGGGAAUAACUGCCCGAAAGGGUGGCUAAUACCGCAUAUGUUCGUGCGUUCGUUUGUACGAACAAAGCCGCAAGGCGCUUCGGGAGGGGCCUGCGUCCGAUUAGCUCGUUGGUGGGGUAACGGCUCACCAAGGCGACGAUCGGUAGGUGGUCUGAGAGGACGAUCACCCAGACUGGGACUGAGACACGGCCCAGACUCCUACGGGAGGCAGCAGUCGGGAAUUUUGCUCAAUGGGCGCAAGCCUGAAGCAGCAACGCCGCGUGAGGGAUGAAGGCCUUCGGGUUGUAAACCUCUUUUUCCAGGGACGAUAAUGACGGUACCUGGAGAAUAAGCCACGGCUAACUACGUGCCAGCCGCCGCGGUAA
rnacentral:rRNA from 1 species